rnacentral:rRNA from 1 species
GAAUAGCCGUACUCCAAUGCAUCAGANUGAUUAUUGAUCAUGGCUCAGAUUGACCGCUGGUCUGCAGGCCUAACACAUGCAAGUCGAGCGGAUGACGGGAGCUUGCUCCUUGAUUCAGCGGCGGACGGGUGAGUAAUGCCUAGGAAUCUGCCUGGUAGUGGGGGACAACGUUUCGAAAGGAACGCUAAUACCGCAUACGUCCUACGGGAGAAAGCAGGGGACCUUCGGGCCUUGCGCUAUCAGAUGAGCCUAGGUCGGAUUAGCUAGUUGGUGAGGUAAUGGCUCACCAAGGCGACGAUCCGUAACUGGUCUGAGAGGAUGAUCAGUCACACUGGAACUGAGACACGGUCCAGACUCCUACGGGAGGCAGCAGUGGGGAAUUAUUUGGACAAUUGGGCGAAAGCCUGAUCCAGACCAUGCCGCGUGUGUGAAGAAGAGUCUUCGGAUUUGUAAAGCACUUUAAGAUUU